UCCGUAGGUGAACCUGCGGAAGGAUCAUCACUAGAAUAUGUCCAUUUCUCUUGGGUUCCCCCCUCUCCCUUUCUCUCUCUCGAUGAUCUCUAAAUGAUUUCCAUCUGUGUCGAGUAAAAUUGGGGGUUGGGUUCUCUCCCCUCUUCUCUCUCAAAAAUUCGAUUUCUCCAAUUGUGUGAUUUCUAAAUAAACGAGAAAAAUUUGAGGGCGAGAGUUCUCUUCCCCCAUCCCUCUCUAUCACUAAACGAUCUCUCCCUGAUUUCUACGUAACCGUGAAUACCUGAGGCUGGGUUCUCAAGGGUGUGCGAACGUAUUUCUCCUUUCCAUUAUUCCUUUUGCCCUUACGGAAGGGUAGGGUUGAUACGUCUUAUGCCCCAUGCCGGCUUCUCGCCGUCGUUGUUGUGAGGUCUUUAUCCGUUUUAAUUCCUUGCCAGUGUGUAUUACGUCCGGGUUAAGUCAGGCUGCAAAGUCGCGGCUUAACCCUUCCCAUUAAAGGUCUUCUCAUGCUGACGAUUUCUGUAUUGUUGCGUGUGUACGAGAUUGCCAUUGUAAAAGGUCUCCCUUAUAUCCUCCUUCAAACCGAGGGUAUAUGCGGGGGUUCAGUAGCUUGGCACUCGCACGCUCAAGCACACUUCUCUUAUAUCAACCACCUUUUAUUAAACCAAACUAAACUAUAGAUUUUAUUUACACCUUGAGUGUAUCCUAACUUAAUACAACUGUUAACAACGGAUCACUCGGUUCUCACGUCGAUGAAGAGCGUAGCGAAUUGCGAAAACUAAUGCGAUCUGCACCCAUCGUGAAUCAUCGAGUCCUUGAACGCACACUGCACCCAAUGGUAUCCCCAUGGGUAUGCCUGAUUGAGUACCGGGUUAUAUCAUCAAAAGGUGUAUUCCUUUUGGAACUGGAUUUUCCCCUUCCUUAGGGGGGGGUAAUCUUAAAUGAAGGACGCUGGGAUGUGGUUGUUCCCUUCCUGCCGUCCCUUUCCUGCACUUUUUUUCCUCUUUGUGUAUGGCGUAUUGGUCGGGGUCUUGUCCUUUUCUCGUCUCUUCGGAGAAGGGGAGGGGGCAGGAGCACGAAUUUCACGCCUUGUACAGAGUUGAAGGGGGGUAUGGGCGAGGGGUAGCAUCCAAAGGGAAGGGGUGAUGAGGGGAUCCUUUUCUCUCUUCAUAAUACAACUACUGACGGUUGCUCGAGAUUACGAUAUUCCUCUGCUCUCAUCCCCGAAAGGGUUUGGGUUCGAGGGGGUAUGGUAACACUUGAAUUUUCGGUCUCAGUUAGGUAGGAAUACCCGCUGAACUUAAGCAUAUCAAUAAGCGGAGGA
rnacentral:rRNA from 1 species